CGUGCGCCGUCGCCUAAUCCCGCCGGCCGGCCUCCGGGCAGGUCAUGGGAGCCGGGGAACCAUGUUCCUUGGGGUGAAUCGGUCGGGCCAGGGCACCGCCCAGGCUCAGCCGUAGGAGACCUUCCUGCUCCGAACCCGUCAGCUAACCCGGUAGGCGCGAAGGAAGGAAAG
rnacentral:sRNA from 2 species